rnacentral:rRNA from 1 species
CAAUAGCGUAUAUUUAAGUUGUUGCAGUUAAAAAGCUCGUAGUUGGAUUUCGGAUGGGAUUUGCCGGUCCGUCGUUACGAUGUGCACUGGCCAGUCCUAUCUUGUUGUCGGGGACUAGCUCCUUGGAUUCACUUCCUGGGACUAGGAGCUGACGAGGUUACUUUGAGUAAAUUAGAGUGUUCGAAGCAAGCCUACGCUCUGAAUACAUUAGCAUGGAAUAACACGAUAGGACUCUGGCUUAUCUUGUUGGUCUGUGAGACCAGAGUAAUGAUUAAGAGGGACAGUCGGGGACAUUCGUAUUUCAUUGUCAGAGGUGAAAUUCUUGGAUUUAUGAAAGACGAACUUCUGCGAAAGCAUUUGUCAAGGAUGUUUUCAUUAA